rnacentral:rRNA from 1 species
GACGAACGCUGGCGGCGUGCUUAACACAUGCAAGUCGAACGGAAAGGCCCUGCUUUUGUGGGGUGCUCGAGUGGCGAACGGGUGAGUAACACGUGAGUAACCUGCCCUUGACUUUGGGAUAACUUCAGGAAACUGGGGCUAAUACCGGAUAGGAGCUCCUGCUGCAUGGUGGGGGUUGGAAAGUUUCGGCGGUUGGGGAUGGACUCGCGGCUUAUCAGCUUGUUGGUGGGGUAGUGGCUUACCAAGGCUUUGACGGGUAGCCGGCCUGAGAGGAUGACCGGCCACAUUGGGACUGAGAGACGGCCCAGACUCCUACGGGAGGCAGCAGUGGGGAAUAUUGCACAAUGGGCGGAAGCCUGAUGCAGCAACGCCGCGUGCGGGAUGACGGCCUUCGGGUUGUAAACCGCUUUCGCCUGUGACGAAGCGUGAGUGACGGUAAUGGGUAAAGAAGCACCGGCUAACUACGUG